AGAGCGUACGUGACGUCACGUUUGCAGAGUUGUGCAGUAUUGCCAACCAUUUGCUCUUCGCAAUAAAUUUAGUGCUUUUUUAUACCGAAAAUGCGACAAUUUUUAAGUUUGGUGUUGGUUUCUUUUUGUUUUUAAUUUAAGGCUACCGAGACUUAAGUUGAAAAAAACUGUAUUAUUAUACAAAAGAAGUUUAAAAAAGGCCACUCUGAGAAGAUUUUAGUGCUAAUGAAAAGUUUUUUACUCUUAUAAAAUUUGAUAAUUUGAAAGUGCAAAUUUAAUUUUUGGCUCCAUUUAAGGCUAUGCAAAUAUAUUAAAUGCCCCUCUCUCAACUCUUCUUAAGAGUGAAAUUCUUUUAACACAUUUUAAAAAGCCUUUGAAUUUAUUGAAUGCGAAUCGAAACCAUAGAGGUGUAAUCGUUUCUUCCGGUCAUCAAUCCUUAGUGAGACAUAGAGCAUCAAGAGGUAUAUUCAUAGUAAAAAUAAGCAACAAAAUACCAGAAAAUACUAAAGAAACCAUACUGACAUUUUUACAAAAAGAGUACCUUAUCUAUUUAGUUACAUAACUUCAAAUAUAGCAAAAAAGUCGUUCCCUUAACGAAAGAGUUUCGCUUAACAAAAAAAACUCAUAAAUUAAAUUGAACAUAAGCAUAACACAUUUAUUUAAAAAAAACGCACAUUCUACAGACAAUUUGUCACGCAUACAAAGUUCUUACUUAACACAAUAAAAAUUUCGUGUUUUAUUUUCUUUAAAUGGGCAUUUAGUGCGUUUUUAUAUCCAAAGCUAGGCAACUCUGCAGUAGCGAGAGAGAGAUUUGACUGCCGAAAGCAGAAGAACACCAACAACACCGGCAAUCGCGGGCAAUGCCACCAGAUGUUAAAAAAAAGUAAAGCUAAAUAAAACUGAGUGAAUUAUUUAAAUAAUUAUUAAAAAAUGUAUAUUUCACAAAAUUAUAAACAUGACAUUUUAAUUAGAACAGCUAGAAAAAUGUCAUGAAGAAAGAACUAAAACUCCGAGACAAAAAAUAAUAAAAAUAACAAAAAAAAAUGCUAAAUCAAGUUACGAAAAUGGUAAUCUGGCCAUACUGGAGCUAAAAUCACGUAACUAGUUGUCAAAUUCGCUGAGCGCAAAGUAACGGGACCACGAUGGGCGCCAUCUCAUUAUUCUUUGCAUCAUGUACUAUAAGUAUAUACUACAUGUAUUUGUUGUUGCGUUUGGUCCAAGCAUCACGUCAAAGUCAGUUGUUCAUUUGCAGUGUGAUUUGCUUGUGAAACGUACGCUGGAAAUAGUCACAAAAUAAAAAGUCGCCACAUUUCCUACAGUUCAUUGAAGAUUUCGUAUGUAGCAUAUGUGCAAUGUGGAUUUAUUAUGUGGGAAUUAAUUUGCCACGGGCAUGCAUAAGGUGAAAUUGAAUGUAGAGAGUGAAGUUUUGACGCGAAAAAGUUUAAAAUAGAGAAAUAUAACGCAAAAAAAAUUCGGAACAAGUGCAAAAUUAAAGUCUCAUUGCAUACAGAAAGUAAUGUAAUUCUAUAUCCUCAUAGGAUAUUGAUGGCUAUCAGAAAUCCACCUUGGCUGCUAAUAACUUCAUACUAAAUACUGUUGAGAUGCGCA